UACCCUAAAUGUCCACUCAGUGUGGCCAGUCU
rnacentral:piRNA from 1 species